GUGGGGAAUCUUGCGCAAUGGGCGAAAGCCUGACGCAGCCAUGCCGCGUGAAUGAUGAAGGUCUUAGGAUUGUAAAAUUCUUUCACCGGGGACGAUAAUGACGGUACCCGGAGAAGAAGCCCCGGCUAACUUCGUGCCAGCAGCCGCGGUAAUACGAAGGGGGCUAGCGUUGCUCGGAAUUACUGGGCGUAAAGGGCGCGUAGGCGGAUCGUUAAGUCAGGGGUGAAAUCCCAGAGCUCAACUCUGGAACUGCCCUUGAUACUGGCGAUCUUGAGUGUGAGAGAGGUAUGUGGAACUCCGAGUGUAGAGGUGAAAUUCGUAGAUAUUCGGAAGAACACCAGUGGCGAAGGCGACAUACUGGCUCAUUACUGACGCUGAGGCGCGAAAGCGUGGGGAGCAAACAGGAUUAGAUACCCCGGUAGUCC
rnacentral:rRNA from 1 species